rnacentral:lncRNA from 1 species
AAAAAAAAGGUGCUUUAAAAAGAGUUGAGGCUAAGGUUGUGUGGUUCAGUGGUAGAGCACUUGCCUAGCAUGUGUGAGGCACUGGGUUCUAUUCUCAGCACUGCAUAUAAAUAAAUAAAAUAAAGUCCAUUUACAAGUAAAAAAUAUAUAUAUAUACAUAAAAAGAGUAGAGAACUGAAAGGGAGGUGAGACUAUAGAGGCACAUGGUCCCUUUCUCAUCCAAAAUAGGUUGAUAUAGUACUAUAUUAGAUCCCAAAAGAUAAUAUGCUGGAGAUUGCUAACUUUUUCAGAAACUUCAACAUGCAACACAUCUCUGACCUCCACAGCAUUUUGAACUUCUUAAAUUCCUUCCAUGGAAGUUGGGGAUGUAGCUAAGUGGUGCUCUUGCCCAGCAUGCACAAGGCCCUGGAUUUAAUCCCCAACACCACAGAAUAAUUAAUAAUAAAUAAACAUGAUGGCACACACUCAGGAGACUAAGGCAAGAGGAUCACAAGUUCAAGGCCAGCCUGGGAAACUUAGCAAGAUCCUAUUUCAAAAUAAAAUAUACAGGUUAGGCAUGUAGCUCAGUUCCAGUAAUACAGAGCUUGCCUAGAAUGUGUGAGGCUCUGAGUUUAACUCCAGUGUCUCGAGGGGUGCAGGGAAACACGGGGACCAGGCUUGAUGGCACAGGCCUAAUCCCAGCUACUCAGGAAGGCUGAAGCAGGAGGAUUCCAAGUUCAGCAACUUAGCAAGGCCCUUUGCAAAAUAAAAAUUCUUUAUAAAAAGAUCUGGGCAUGUAGCCGGACACAGUGAUACAUGCCUGUAAUCCCAGCAGCUCAGGAGCCUGAGGCAGGAGGAUCACAAGUUCAAAGCCAGCCUCAGCAACUCAGCAAGGCCCCCAGCAACUCAG